rnacentral:lncRNA from 1 species
AUGUUUGCUGUCUCACAAACAAGGAGACUGCCUAAUCUGUCCACUGCCUGGCGAACAAGCAAACCGCUUCAUCUCUUCGCUGCCUGGCAACAAGCAAACUGCUGCGUUUCUUCCCUGCCUCGCAGAAUGAGGAACCACUGUAGAUGUUCGCUGUCUCACAAACAAGGAGACUGCCUAAUCUGUUCGCUGCCUGGCGAACAAGCAGACCGCUGCGUCUCUUCGCUGCCUGGCGAACAAGCAGACCGCUGUGUCUCUUCGCUGCCUCGCAGAAUGUGGAACCACUGUGGAUGUUCGCUGUCUCACAAACAAGGAGACUGCCUAAUCUGUGCACUGCCUGGCGAACAAGCAAACCGCUUCGUCUCUUCGCUGCCUGGAGAGCAAGCAACCCGCUGUGUCUCUUGGCUGCCGCGUGCUAAAGCAAACCAUGGCGCCGCUACGCCACCUCGCCGACUCCUCAACGACUGCGUCUCUUCGCCGCCUCGCAGACAAGCAAGCCCUUGUGUCUCUUUGCCGCCUCGCGCACUAACUAACCGCUGCGUCUCUUUGAUGCCUGCCAAAAGAAGGAAGUGCUGCAUCUCUUCCCGCCUCGCCAACAAGCAGUCCGCUGCCCCUAUUGGAGGCGUUGCAAACAAGCAGUGGGCAGAAUCUCUUCACCACUUCGCCAACAAGCGGACUGCAGAGUCGCUUCGCCGCCUGGCCAACAAGCACACCGCUGCAUGUCUUCGCUGCCUCGCCAACUAGCGAAGUGCUGCCUGGCUUCACUUCCAGGCGAAAAAGCA